UCUGUUAUUCUGUUAUAACCACCGGCUUGGACUCCCGUCUCUCUUCCUUAUAGGCGACGGCGGUUGCUAGGCAGAGCGGCAGCGACGGGACGAACUUCUUGCGGCAUCCUCUGGUUUUCCGGCGUGGUCUUCUCCUCCGACCGAGGCGUAGCAGCCGCCGACCUCCUCACCCUCUCGUCUCUCUGUACCUCUCUCUCCAGCGUAGCGUGGGUUGUUUCUCCUUGAGCGACGAACGGAGCUACGGCAGUAGCGGAGGUGACGGCGGCGGCAGUGUCUUCCCCGGCGAAUCUUGGAACCGUAGCCUGACUGAGUACCUCACCCCGAUUCAACGAUCUCGGCUCACUCUGCUCACUGGACAGCCGUAGCUCCGGCAGCGACGGCAACGAUCUCGGCCCCGCAGCACACCGGCAGCGACCGCAACGGCAGACACGGCACGACUUCGGAGUGAACAGUGUUGGAUCUUCUGCGCAGCAACUUAAGUGUUUCUCUCUUUUGUCCUCCUCGUAGCAACAGA